UGGGGAAUUUUGGACAAUGGGCGAAAGCCUGAUCCAGCAAUGCCGCGUGUGUGAAGAAGGCCUUCGGGUUGUAAAGCACUUUUGUCCGGAAAGAAAUCCUCUGGGUUAAUACCUCGGGGGGAUGACGGUACCGGAAGAAUAAGCACCGGCUAACUACGUGCCAGCAGCCGCGGUAAUACGUAGGGUGCAAGCGUUAAUCGGAAUUACUGGGCGUAAAGCGUGCGCAGGCGGUUUUGUAAGACGGAUGUGAAAUCCCCGGGCUUAACCUGGGAACUGCAUUCGUGACUGCAAGGCUAGAGUAUGGCAGAGGGGGGUAGAAUUCCACGUGUAGCAGUGAAAUGCGUAGAGAUGUGGAGGAAUACCGAUGGCGAAGGCAGCCCCCUGGGCCAAUACUGACGCUCAUGCACGAAAGCGUGGGGAGCAAACAGGAUUAGAUACCCUGGUAGUCCACGCCCUAAAACGAUGUCAACUAGUUGUUGGGGAUUCAUUUCCUUAGUAACGUAGCUAACGCGUGAAGUUGACCGCCUGGGGAGUACGGUCGCAAGAUUAAAACUUAAAUGAAUUGACGGGGUCAUAGCUGUUUCC
rnacentral:rRNA from 1 species